rnacentral:rRNA from 1 species
CAGUCGCCACGGGAAUACGAAGGGGGCUAGCGUUGCUCGGAAUGACUGGGCGUAAAGGGCGCGUAGGCGGUAGGUACAGUUGGAUGUGAAAUCCCUGAGCUUAACUUAGGAAUUGCAUUCGAUACUGGGAAGCUAGAGUAUGGGAGAGGAUGGUAGAAUUCCAGGUGUAGCGGUAAAAUGCGUAGAGAUCUGGAGGAAUACCGAUGGCGAAGGCAGCCAUCUGGCCUAAUACUGACGCUGAGGUACGAAAGCAUGGGGAGCAAACAGGAUUAGAUACCCCUGUAGUCCCUGUCUCUUAUAC